UACGUAGGUGGCAAGCGUUGUCCGGAUUUACUGGGCGUAAAGGGUGUGUAGGCGGUUGUUUAAGUUUGGUGUGAAAUCUCCCGGCUCAACUGGGAGGGUGCGCCGAAUACUGAAUGACUAGAGUGCGGGAGAGGAAAGUGGAAUUCCUGGUGUAGCGGUGAAAUGCGUAGAUAUCAGGAGGAACACCGGUGGUGUAGACGGCUUUCUGGACCGUAACUGACGCUGAGACACGAAAGCGUGGGUAGCAAACAGG
rnacentral:rRNA from 1 species